rnacentral:rRNA from 1 species
GAUGAACGCUGGCGGCGUGCUUAACACAUGCCAGUCGAGCGAGAAGUUUUGAAAAGAUUCUUCGGAUGAAAUUUAAAAUGGAAAGCGGCGGACGGGUGAGUAACGCGUAGGCAACCUGCCCCAUACAAAGGGAUAGCAUUUGGAAACGAAUAUUAAUACCUUAUGAAACUUAACUAGUGCAUGCUAGGUAGGUCAAAGAUUUAUCGGUAUGGGAUGGGCCUGCGUCUGAUUAGCUAGUUGGUGAGGUAACGGCUCACCAAGGCGACGAUCAGUAGCCGACCUGAGAGGGUGGACGGCCACAUAGAAACUGAGGCGCGGUCCAAACUCCUACGGGAGGCAGCAGUGGGGAAUGUUACACAAUGAUGGAAACCCUGAUGCAGCAACGCCGCGUGAACGAUGGAGGCCUUUGGGUCGUAAAGUUCUGUUCUAGGUGAUGAAAACUGACAGUAACCUAGAAGAAAGCCCCGGCUAACUCCGUG